UUGAAGGUGUGCUGUGAGGCAUGCUGGAGGUAUCAGAAGUGCGAAUGCUGACAUAAGUAACGAUAAAGCGGGUGAAAAGCCCGCUCGCCGGAAGACCAAGGGUUCCUGUCCAACGUUAAUCGGGGCAGGGUGAGUCGACCCCUAAGGCGAGGCCGAAAGGCGUAGUCGAUGGGAAACAGGUUAAUAUUCCUGUACUUGGUGUUACUGCGAAGGGGGGACGGAGAAGGCUAUGUCGGCCGGGCGACGGUUGUCCCGGUUUAAGCGUGUAGGUGUGUGUUCCAGGUAAAUCCGGUUCACUUUAACACUGAGGCGUGAUGACGAGGCACCACGGUGCUGAAGUGACAAAUGCCCUGCUUCCAGGAAAAGCCUCUAAGCAUCAGGUAACAUCAAAUCGUACCCCAAACCGACACAGGUGGUCAGGUAGAGAAUACCAAGGCGCUUGAGAGAACUCGGGUGAAGGAACUAGGCAAAAUGGUGCCGUAACUUCGGGAGAAGGCACGCUGGUGCGUAGGUGAAGUGACUUGCUCACGGAGCUGAAACCAGUCGAAGAUACCAGCUGGCUGCAACUGUUUAUUAAAAACACAGCACUGUGCAAACACGAAAGUGGACGUAUACGGUGUGACGCCUGCCCGGUGCCGGAAGGUUAAUUGAUGGGGUUAUCCUCGCGGAGAAGCUCUUGAUCGAAGCCCCGGUAAACGGCGGCCGUAACUAUAACGGUCCUAAGG
rnacentral:rRNA from 1 species